GGGCUUACGAUCCUGUUCCGGUACGAUCACUGAAGUUAAGCAACAUCAAGCCUGGUCAGUACCUAGAUGAGUGACGGCUUGUGAAUACCAGGUGCUGUAA